GAUGAACGCUGGCGGCGUGCUUAACACAUGCAAGUCGAACGGUGAAGCAGGAGCUUGCUCCUGUGGAUCAGUGGCGAACGGGUGAGUAACACGUGAGCAAUCUGCCCUGGACUCUGGGAUAAGCGUUGGAAACGACGUCUAAUACCGGAUACGAGGCGUGGGGGCAUCCCCAACGCCUGGAAAGAACUUCGGUCCAGGAUGAGCUCGCGGCCUAUCAGGUAGUUGGUGAGGUAACGGCUCACCAAGCCUACGACGGGUAGCCGGCCUGAGAGGGUGACCGGCCACACUGGGACUGAGACACGGCCCAGACUCCUACGGGAGGCAGCAGUGGGGAAUAUUGCACAAUGGGCGCAAGCCUGAUGCAGCAACGCCGCGUGAGGGACAACGGCCUUCGGGUUGUAAACCUCUUUUAGCAGGGAAGAAGCGAAAGUGACGGUACCUGCAGAAAAAGCACCGGCUAACUACGUGCCAGCAGCCGCCGUAAUAC
rnacentral:rRNA from 1 species